GUUAAGCGACUAAGCGUACACGGUGGAUGCCCUGGCAGUCAGAGGCGAUGAAGGGCGUGCUAAUCUGCGAUAAGCGCCGGUAAGGUGAUAUGAACCGUUAUAACCGGCGAUACCCGAAUGGGGAAACCCAGUGUGAUUCGUCACACUAUCAUUAACUGAAUCCAUAGGUUAAUGAGGCGAACCGGGGGAACUGAAACAUCUAAGUACCCCGAGGAAAAGAAAUCAACCGAGAUUCCCCCAGUAGCGGCGAGCGAACGGGGAGGAGCCCAGAGCCUGAAUCAGCAUGUGUGUUAGUGGAAGCGUCUGGAAAGGCGCGCGAUACAGGGUGACAGCCCCGUACACAAAAGCGCAUGUGCUGUGAGCUCGAUGAGUAGGGCGGGACACGUGGUAUCCUGUCUGAAUAUGGGGGGACCAUCCUCCAAGGCUAAAUACUCCUGACUGACCGAUAGUGAACCAGUACCGUGAGGGAAAGGCGAAAAGAACCCCGGCGAGGGGAGUGAAAAAGAACCUGAAACCG
rnacentral:rRNA from 1 species